UACGUAGGGUGCAAGCGUUGUCCGGAAUUAUUGGGCGUAAAGAGCUCGUAGGCGGUCUGUCGCGUCUGCUGUGAAAACUCAGGGCUUAACCCUGAGCUUGCAGUGGGUACGGGCAGACUAGAGUGCGAUAGGGGAGACUGGAAUUCCUGGUGUAGCGGUGAAAUGCGCAGAUAUCAGGAGGAACACCGGUGGCGAAGGCGGGUCUCUGGGCAACAACUGACGCUGAGGAGCGAAAGCGUGGGGAGCGAACAGG
rnacentral:rRNA from 1 species